rnacentral:rRNA from 1 species
GAUGAACGCUGACAGAAUGCUUAACACAUGCAAGUCGACUCGAGUCUUCGGACUUGGGUGGCGCACGGGUGAGUAACACGUGGAGAACCUGCCCCCUCCCCCGGGAUAGCCGCCCGAAAGGACGGGUAAUACCGGAUACCCCGGGGCGCCGCAUGGCGCCCCGGCUAAAGCCCCGACGGGAGGGGAUGGCUCCGCGGCCCAUCAGGUAGACGGCGGGGUGACGGCCCACCGUGCCGACAACGGGUAGCCGGGUUGAGAGACCGACCGGCCAGAUUGGGACCGAGACACGGCCCAG